rnacentral:rRNA from 1 species
GAUGAACGCUGGCGGCGUGCCUAAUACAUGCAAGUCGAGCGAACAGAUGAGGAGCUUGCUCCUCUGACGUUAGCGGCGGACGGGUGAGUAACACGUGGAUAACCUACCUAUAAGACUGGGAUAACUUCGGGAAACCGGAGCUAAUACCGGAUAAUAUAUUGAACCGCAUGGUUCAAUAGUGGAAGACGGUUUUGCUGUCACUUCUAGAUGGAUCCGCGCCGCAUUAGCUAGUUGGUAAGGUAACGGCUUACCAAGGCAACGAUGCGUAGCCGACCUGAGAGGGUGAUCGGCCACACUGGAACUGAGACACGGUCCAGACUCCUACGGGAGGCAGCAGUAGGGAAUCUUCCGCAAUGGGCGAAAGCCUGACGGAGCAACGCCGCGUGAGUGAUGAAGGUCUUCGGAUCGUAAAACUCUGUUAUUAGGGAAGAACAAAUGUGUAAGUAACUAUGCACGUCUUGACGGUACCUAAUCAGAAAGCCACGGCUAACUACGUG